CCUACGGGAGGCAGCAGUGAGGAAUAUUGGUCAAUGGACGAGAGUCUGAACCAGCCAAGUAGCGUGAAGGAUGACUGCCCUAUGGGUUGUAAACUUCUUUUUUAUGGGAAUAAAAUGUUCCACGUGUGGGAUUUUGUAUGUACCAUAUGAAUAAGGAUCGGCUAACUCCGUGCCAGCAGCCGCGGUAAUACGGAGGAUCCGAGCGUUAUCCGGAUUUAUUGGGUUUAAAGGGAGCGUAGGUGGAUUGUUAAGUCAGUUGUGAAAGUUUGCGGCUCAACCGUAAAAUUGCAGUUGAAACUGGCAGUCUUGAGUACAGUAGAGGUGAGCGGAAUUCGUGGUGUAGCGGUGAAAUGCUUAGAUAUCACGAAGAACUCCGAUUGCGAAGGCAGUUCACUGGACUGCAACUGACACUGAGGCUCGAAAGUGUGGGUAUCAAACAGGAUUAGAUACCCCAGUAGUC
rnacentral:rRNA from 1 species